AGCAAAGUGGCUUAGUGGAAGAAGCACGGGCUUGAGAAGUCAGAGGUCGUGGGUUCUAAUCCCAGCGCCGCCA
rnacentral:tRNA from 1 species